ACCAGACCCAAAAAAAAAAAAAUGUAUAAAAAAUUAAAAGUGUAAUCCAAAUCUUCACUUAAUGAAAAUUCUGUAACUAGUGAAGAACCAAAUACAUGAAAGGACCAAUUAGAGAACUUAUAAUGUAAAUGAGAACUAAAAUAUUCAAUCAAAUGACUAGGAAAAAAGAAGCAAUCUUUCUCUCAACAGAGACCCCAAAUACAGAUCUAGAUGUCAUCAACAGAAGAGGCUAAAUAUCUGACUAACAGAAAUUUGAGUCAGAACAAAAGGAGAUGAUAGGGAGAAGAGGUGAUAAUGUCCAGAUGGAAAAGUCAAAGCUUUCGAAAUACCCUCAUCAGAGAAUGUACACAGGCCCACACCAAGUAUGGUCAGGAAGAAAACUUUCAGAUUGUCAGGAAGAAAACCUUCUAGAGGAAGGAAAAUGAGUGAAUCAGCCCCCUCAAUGGCAAAAAAAAAGUCCACAGGGCCUUCAACAUUCCAAUGGAAAAUUCACACUAGUCAAAGUAAAGGCAAUUUCAAAAAUGCAGAGAUACUAGAAAAUAGUAUGCACCAAAAAGGCACAAGAAAGAAAAAUAUGUGAUCCAACACUGGAGCUAACCUAGACCAUCUAGAAAAGAGACAAGGUGACAGCUAUAUGGCAGACUUAGGCUCUAGCAGGAAAAUAAGCAGAUAAGUAACAAAGGGUCUUGGAAAAGGUAAGGACACAGAAGGAAAAUUAGGUAGGCAGAAAAAUUGUAAGAUUAUAUGUACAGCAACAGCUGUACACAGAGAAAAUCAGAUCACAUUUUACCAGCUGUACAGGGACUGUGAUAAGACAGUUUAGAAGGAGAAGAUGAAAUGAGGUGGUGUCUGAACUUAAAUCUUCAGUUAUUAUAAAAGGAAAGCAUUUUGGACUUGCUAUCAAUUAACUUAUUCAAGGCACAAACAUCAGUCUUUCAAUCCUGAGGUUUUAAUCCAUGAGUGUUUCUUUCAAACUGUUUAAUUUAUUAAAAGAAUUUUGUA